rnacentral:rRNA from 1 species
UACGGGGGGGGCAAGCGUUGUUCGGAAUUACUGGGCGUAAAGGGCUCGUAGGUGGCCAACUAAGUCAGACGUGAAAUCCCUCAGCUUAACUGGGGAACUGCGUCUGAUACUGGAUGGCUUGAGUUUGGGAGAGGGAUGCGGAAUUCCAGGUGUAGCGGUGAAAUGCGUAGAUAUCUGGAGGAACACCGGUGGCGAAGGCGGCAUUCUGGACUGCAACUGACACUGAAGAACGAAAGCCAGGGGAGCAAACGGG